rnacentral:misc_RNA from 1 species
UCCUAGCCCCGAUUGGAGCAUCUGUUUGAGCUCAUUUUAUUGGAUUCGGCGGCGGCUUUGCCGCCGCCGAAUCCAAUAAAAUAGCGAGUGCGGAAAGCGGGAAAUAGC